rnacentral:tRNA from 1 species
GUUAAUAUAGUUUAACAAAAACAUUAGGUUGUGGUCCUAAAAAUAGAAGUUUAACUCUUCUUAUUCA